rnacentral:rRNA from 1 species
UACCAGCACCCCGAGUGGUCGGGACGAUUAUUGGGCCUAAAGCAUCCGUAGCCGGUCCUACAAGUCUUCCGUUAAAUCCACCUGCUUAACAGAUGGGCUGCGGAAGAUACUAUAGGGCUAGGAGGCGGGAGAGGCAAGCGGUACUCAGUGGGUAGGGGGUAAAAUCCUCUGAUCCACUGAAGACCACCAGUGGCGAAGGCGGCUUGCCAGAACGCGCUCGACGGUGAGGGAUGAAAGCUGGGGGAGCAAACCGG